AUGCUUACACAUGCAAGUCGAACGGUAACAGGCCGCUGUGAUCCCUUCGGGGUGAACUUGGUGCUGACGAGUGGCGGACGGGUGAGUAAUGCUUAGGGAUCUGCCCAGAAGUGGGGGACAACCCGAGGAAACUCGGGCUAAUACCGCAUAAGCCCUUCGGGGGAAAGCGGGGGACUUUUCGGAGCCUCGCGCUUUUGGAUGAGCCUAAGUCGGAUUAGUUUGAUGGUGAGGUAAAGGCUCACCAUGGCGACGAUCCGUAGCUGGUCUGAGAGGACGAUCAGCCACACUGGGACUGAGACACGGCCCAGACUCCUACGGGAGGCAGCAGUGGGGAAUAUUGGACAAUGGGGGCAACCCUGAUCCAGCAAUGCCGCGUGUGUGAAGAAGGCCUGCGGGUUGUAAAGCACUUUCAGUAGGGAAGAAAAGCUCGAGGUUAAUAACCUCGGGUCUUGACGUAACCUAAAGAAGAAGCACCGGCUAACUCCGUGCCAGCAGCCGCGGUAAUACGGAGGGUGCGAGCGUUAAUCGGAAUUACUGGGCGUAAAGCGCGCGCAGGCGGCUGGGUCAGUCGGAUGUGAAAGCCCCGGGCUUAACCUGGGAAUUGCAUUCGAUACUGCCCGGCUAGAGUAUGGGAGAGGGAAGUGGAANUUUCCGGUGUAGCGGUGAAAUGCGUAGAUAUCGGAAGGAAC
rnacentral:rRNA from 1 species